CCGCCCGCCAGUGCUUCACAGUGCCGGUGCCGAGUGAUUGCCCCGCGUGGUCCACGGGCCGCCUAGGCGAACGCCCCAAAGGUAGCGAAGAGCCUCUGCCAGUGACAAGACGCGACGCGACUCCGUGCCGGCCGCUCUGCGAGACUUGAACGCCAGAUCAGAACAGCAGCACCAGCGGGCGCCGCCAGGGCUUUCUCCGCGGUCGGGCCGGUCAGACCAACGGAUGUGACAAAGCAGCGGCCAGGAUGCACAACUUCAAAGACGCCAGCAAAGCUGUGAGAACAGCAUGAAGAAGCUGUCAUGUCGGUUGCAAUUAGCAGAAUGCGAUAACUCCUGAGGGGCUAGACGGCAGUCUGCGUACUUGAGAC